CCCUUCGAUACUCUGGGCGGCACGCGCGCUACAAUAAGUUCCAUAAUGUGUUGCAGUUCCGAAGUGGAAUUGCGGAUCAUCAAUAGGACUUUGUGAAUGGGAUAGUCUUCUGCAAUUUCUAGACUUGAAAUAGGAAUCCCUUGUAAAUGUGUUAAAGAAUAGCACUUUGAAUACGUCCCUGUGGAAUGUACACACCGCCCGUCGUUUCUUCCGACUGAUACUCAAUGUGAAUUAUAGGGAGCUUUGCGAACUGUCGUGAAUGUUGAGUAUUGGAGGAAGAAAAAGUCGUAACAA
rnacentral:rRNA from 1 species